rnacentral:tRNA from 1 species
GAGGGUAUAGCUUAAGUAGUAGAGUGUAUGCUUUGCAUGCAUGACGUCCUGGCUUCUAUCCCCAGUACCUCCU